GACGAACGCUGGCGGCGUGCCUAAUACAUGCAAGUAGAACGCACAGUUUAUACCGUAGCUUGCUACACCAUAGACUGUGAGUUGCGAACGGGUGAGUAACGCGUAGGUAACCUGCCUGGUAGCGGGGGAUAACUAUUGGAAACGAUAGCUAAUACCGCAUAAUAUUGAUUAUUGCAUGAUAAUUAAUUGAAAGGUGCAAUUGCACCACUACCAGAUGGACCUGCGUUGUAUUAGCUAGUAGGUGAGGUAACGGCUCACCUAGGCGACGAUACAUAGCCGACCUGAGAGGGUGAUCGGCCACACUGGGACUGAGACACGGCCCAGACUCCUACGGGAGGCAGCAGUAGGGAAUCUUCAGCAAUGGACGAAAGUCUGACCGAGCAACGCCGCGUGAGUGAAGAAGGUUUUCGGAUCGUAAAGCUCUGUUGUAAGAGAAGAACGGGUGUGAGAGUGGAAAGUUCACACUGUGACGGUAUCUUACCAGAAAGGGACGGCUAACUACGUG
rnacentral:rRNA from 1 species